GGGGCAUUAGCUCAGUUGGCUAGAGCGUUUGACUGGCAGUCAAGAGGUCAGGGGUUCGAUUCCCCUAUGCUCCA
rnacentral:tRNA from 1 species